GGCCUCCUGGUGCUUACCACAUGCUGUGUUCUUGCACUGACCACAGGAGGCAAAGUAAACCUACCCAUAUACCUAACAGCCCAGGCCCUGGGCCUGGUCUGUCUUGUGAAUGGGGAGAUAUGU
rnacentral:snoRNA from 1 species